rnacentral:sRNA from 1 species
GAAAAACUGGGAUUUGAGAGGGAUGAAGUGGGGCUUGGGCAUUUAGGUCCUUUGGGAGGAUAGAUGUGGGGAGCAUCAGAGGUCUUUGUCCUGCUUGUGACAGACAGCAUGGGGGAGAUGUUGAGUCCAAACAUGUUGGCGCUGGGACGGGAGACAGACCUCUGCUUAGCCUGGUUAGUGCCAGGAGCCAUUGCCCCCUCCCCCACUUUGUUCCUUCCCUCUCUAGCAAAAAAGCAGGGCCAGAGCGGCAUCAUCUCCUGCAUAGCCUUCAGCCCAGCCCAGCCCCUCUAUGCCUGUGGCUCCUACGGCCGCUCCCUGGGUCUGUAUGCCUGGGAUGAUGGCUCCCCUCUCGCCUUGCUGGGAGGGCACCAAGGGGGCAUCACCCACCUCUGCUUUCAUCCCGAUGGCAACCGCUUCUUCUCAGGAGCCCGCAAGGAUGCUGAGCUCCUGUGCUGGGAUCUCCGGCAGUCUGGUUACCCACUGUGGUCCCUGGGUCGAGAGGUGACCACCAAUCAGCGCAUCUACUUCGAUCUGGACCCGUGAGUGGCUGUGACUCCUUCCUACACAGGGCCCUGAUAAGCCUAGGAAUGCCAGAGCCCAGCUGACCGGGCAGUUCCUAGUGAGUGGCAGCACGAGCGGGGCCGUCUCUGUGUGGGACACGGACGGGCCUGGCAAUGAUGGGAAGCCGGAGCCCGUGUUGAGUUUUCUGCCCCAGAAGGACUGCACCAAUGGCGUGAGCCUGCACCCUAGCCUGCCUCUCCUGGCCACUGCCUCCGGUCAGCGUGUGUUUCCUGAGCCCACAGAGAGUGGGGACGAAGGAGAGGAGCUGGGCCUUCCCUUGCUCUCCACGCGCCACGUCCACCUUGAAUGUCGGCUUCAGCUCUGGUGGUGUGGGGGGGGGCCAGACUCCAGCAUCCCUGAUGAUCACCAGGGCGAGAAAGGGCAGGGAGGAACGGAGGGAGGUGUGGGUGAGCUUAUAUAAAAAGGUUUUUAUGAUA